rnacentral:rRNA from 1 species
CCUACGGGAGGCAGCAUGGGGGAAUAUUGCACAAUGGGCGCAAGCCUGAUGCAGCCAUGCCGCGUGUAUGAAGAAGGCCUUCGGGUGUAAAGUACUUUCAGCAGUGAGGAAGGUGGAUAUGUUAAUAGCAUAUUCAUUUGACGUUAGCUGCAGAAGAAGCACCGGCUAACUCCGUGCCAGCAGCCGCGGUAAUACGGAGGGUGCGAGCGUUAAUCGGAAUUACUGGGCGUAAAGCGCAUGCAGGUGGUUUGUUAAGUCAGAUGUGAAAGCCCGGGGCUCAACCUCGGAAUUGCAUUUGAAACUGGCAAACUAGAGUACUGUAGAGGGGGUAGAAUUUCAGGUGUAGCGGUGAAAUGCGUAGAGAUCUGAAGGAAUACCGGUGGCGAAGGCGGCCCCCUGGACAGAUACUGACACUCAGAUGCGAAAGCGUGGGGAGCAAACAGGAUUAGAUACCCUGGUAG